UUAAUAUUUAUUAUUAACUGAGGUUACUACUACUACAAAGGGUUUGAAUGUCCUACUGGCGGGCAAGCCCGCCGAGGAAACAAGGGUACUCAUAAACAAAGGGUGCUAUCUCAAUGGGGACGAAUCCCCACGGUAAUGAUCCUUCCGCAGGUUCACCUACGGAAA
rnacentral:misc_RNA from 1 species